GGCUUUUCCACAAAAGCAGUCAAAAGCUUAGGAUCAGAACUGAACAACCCGCUUUGGGUUAUUUGGAAGAGUUCUUCUGGCCUAUGACCUGUGGCAAUUGGCUGCAGACAUGAAAGCAUCUUGUGCCGUGGACCUUCAAGACUUCCUGAAUUCAACUUUUUGGGUUCUCCAACACUCAUCACCAGGCUCACUGAUGUUGGGUAAGGGGCAGUAGUAUUCUGAAAGAAAAGACCCCAUGUCUAAGACAAAGACGGACUGCAAAUGGAUAGGAUACAAACAGGAAGCUAUUUCCAGCAGAGAAGUAAAUCCCAGGUAGAACAAACUGAUGCCCUUCAUGUAUCUAAAAUCCCAGCCUCUUACAUCUUUCCCACUAAUUUUCUCAAGACUGAAGUGCCUGAACAGGAAGCUAACAGGGUUAAGACAAACUGCAGAUGGUUAAAUUCUAGCCAAACAGCACAAGAUUCUGAAGUAAUGGAAUUAAAGAAAGUCUGUCCAGAAGUAGAAACAGAGAAGACUCAUGGGGAUUAGAGAUAGUGUAGUGCUUCUCAAAGCAAGCUUUUAAAAGUAUAAAAUCAUUGUCCUGAAAAGUAUGAGAGAAAUAGACUUUGCACAGUUCCUUGGAGUUAAGCAAACACACAUAACUUUUUUUAUUCAUUUUAUUGAGCGAUACAUUUUUCGAGGAAGGGAGGGGAGUAGAGCAAACACACAUAAUUUAAAGACUAUUCUGACGCCUUGGGUUGUGAAAGUGUAUUAUUCCCAUCCUGACAUUCAAUCACCGUGAGUGGUUCCACAGUGGAUGCUGACCUCACUCUAACAUACACUAUGUUUGCCAGUGACAGACUUGGAUUACAAUUCAUU